rfam:Salmo salar isolate Sally breed double haploid chromosome ssa01, whole genome shotgun sequence.
UGCACUCACUACUGUAAGUCGCUCUGGAUAAGAGCAUCUGCUGAAUGUGUGUGU